rnacentral:lncRNA from 1 species
AAAAAUAGAAAAAAUAAUAAAACAAUAGAGUUUUGGAGUAAUUUGAACUAAAUGGAGAUACCAAAAUGAUUAACCUAAAUAGAAUAAACAUAGAAGAAAAGAGAAUAGAGAAAUAUGAAUCUACAAGAAAUAAAAACGAGGAAAUGAGAAAACAAUCAAGGCAAGAAUCAAACCCAGGACCUAGUGGGAAAUAGAGGAAGUUUCAACCACUAGGCCAAGAAUGGUUAGUUGAAAGUUGGAUGCAUCUGUAGGUACAUAUAAAACUGUGAAGAGUAAU